GCUCAAAGUAUAAUCAAGAUAAUGGUUCAAAGAGGUGUGGAGCCUAAUGUGGUCAUCUAUAGCACCUUAGUUCAUUGUCUAUGCUAUUUAGGCAAAGGGAAGGAAGCUUUGGCGUUGUUGAAUGAAAUGGUGAGGCAGAACAUGUCACCAAAUGUUCUUACCUUCAAAAUAGUGAUUGACACUCUUUUUAAGGAUGGAAUGGUUUUAGAGGGUCAAGAAGUUGUCAAUAUGAUGGUUGAAAGGGGCAUAAAACCUGAUGCAAUUGCUUACAAUUCAUUGAUAGAUGCAUAUUGUCUGCAUGGUCAAAUGAAUAAAGCUAGAGAAGUAUUUAAUCUGAUGGUAACAGAUGGAAUAGUUGAUAUUUUUAGCUACAACAACUUGAUUAAUGGAUAUUGCAAGAG
rnacentral:misc_RNA from 1 species